AUACGUGUGGCCCCCCACCUCCGUGUGCUGCCCCACCCCCUUGGUGCCAUUAUGUGGACAUGGUGGAUGAAAAAGGUUGCUUUACUUGUGGUCGUUUGGUCUGCCCUGAGGAACCCUCAGAAGUCCCACUAGAAUGAUGCGGGGAAUCCUGGUAUCUCUGCCAAUAGUUCGAUUCUGUGGUACAACAUAGAGCCGUGGUGUACGUUGGCUUAGCAAUAAAUGUUUCAAAUAUGAAAAACAUC